GUACUGCUACUCGCAGUGAGGCUGCUGGAGUUUGAUUGACAUAUAAACAUGGAUCUCAAUGAACUUUUGUAGUGGAUGUUGAUGACAGUUGGUCCACUGUAGGAGUGGGGUGCGCGUCAAGAUAGGAUCUAUCGACUUUGAUAGAAAGGAGUAGUCCUAUGAGAUUUGAGAGACUAAGUCCAAGAGUCUGUGGCUACAGUAGAAUGAUUGAUGAAAAAAAAUUUUCAUAGACAUCAUAAUU
rnacentral:lncRNA from 1 species